AGUGAACGCUGGCGGUAGGCCUAACACAUGCAAGUCGAACGGCAGCACAGGAGAGCUUGCUCUCUGGGUGGCGAGUGGCGGACGGGUGAGGAAUACAUCGGAAUCUACUCUGUCGUGGGGGAUAACGUAGGGAAACUUACGCUAAUACCGCAUACGACCUACGGGUGAAAGCAGGGGGCCUUCGGGCCUUGCACGAUUGAAUGAGCCGAUGUCGGAUUAGCUAGUUGGCGGGGUAAAGGCCCACCAAGGCGACGAUCCGUAGCUGGUCUGAGAGGAUGAUCAGCCACACUGGAACUGAGACACGGUCCAGACUCCUACGGGAAGCAGCAGUGGGGAAUAUUGGACAAUGGGCGCAAGCCUGAUCCAGCCAUACCGCGUGGGUGAAGAAGGCCUUCGGGUUGUAAAGCCCUUUUGUUGGGAAAGAAAUCCAGCUGGCUAAUACCCGGUUGGGAUGACGGUACCCAAAGAAUAAGCACCGGCUAACUUCGUGCCAGCCGCCGCAGUAACAC
rnacentral:rRNA from 1 species